CCGGCGCACGGGUGCGUAACGCGUAUGCAACCUACCUCUAACUGGGGAAUAGCCCCGAGAAAUCGGGAUUAAUACCUCAUAAUAUUCAUCUUUCGCAUGUUAGAUGAAUAAAAGUUCCGACGGUUAGAGAUGGGCAUGCGUGACAUUAGCUAGUUGGUGAGGUAACGGCUCACCAAGGCAGCGAUGUCUAGGGGUUCUGAGAGGAUUUUCCCCCACACUGGUACUGAGACACGGACCAGACUCCUACGGGAGGCAGCAGUAAGGAAUAUUGGUCAAUGGGCGAAAGCCUGAACCAGCCAUGCCGCGUGCAGGAUGACGGCCCUACGGGUUGUAAACUGCUUUUGUAUAGGAAGAAACCUCACUACGUGUAGUGGGCUGACGGUACUAUACGAAUAAGCACCGGCUAACUCCGUGCCAGCAGCCGCGGUAAUACGGAGGGUGCAAGCGUUAUCCGGAUUCAUUGGGUUUAAAGGGUGCGCACGCGGAAUGAUUAAUCAGUGGUGAAAUCCUACAGCUCAACUGUGGAACUGCCAUUGAUACUGUCAUUCUUGAGUACAGUUGAAGUGGGCAGGAAUGUAUCACGUAACGGUGAAAUGCAUA
rnacentral:rRNA from 1 species